rnacentral:rRNA from 1 species
AUACGUAGGGAGCGAGCGUUGUCCGGAUUUACUGGGUGUAAAGGGAGCGUAGACGGCAAAGCAAGUCUGAAGUGAAAGCCCCGGGCUCAACCCGGGAAUUGCUUUGGAAACUGUUUAGCUGGAGUGCAGGAGAGGUAAGCGGAAUUCCUAGUGUAGCGGUGAAAUGCGUAGAUAUUAGGAGGAACACCGGCGGCGAAGGCGGCUUACUGGACUGUAACUGACGUUGAGGCUCGAAAGCGUGGGGAGCAAACAGGAUUAGAUACCCUGGUAGUCCACGCCGUAAACGAUGAUUACUAGGUGUUGGUUGUCAUAGACAAUCGGUGCCGCAGCAAACGCAAUAAGUAAUCCACCUGGGGAGUACGUUCGCAAGAAUGAAACUCAAAGGAAUUGACGGGG